rnacentral:lncRNA from 1 species
GCGUAUCUUUGGCAUCGAUCACAUUUCUUGACAUAUUCGAUCGAAUCACGAUGCAUUGUUGGCCAGUAAUACCCUUGGCGGAGUAGCUUGUGGGAUAAAGAUCUGGCACCCAAAUGGCUUCCGCAAGCUCCCUCGUGUACUUCCCAUAAAGCGUAGUCAGCUUCUGAGGGCCGGAGACACCUUAGGAGGGGCAAGGAGUACGAUCUUUUGUACAAUUUGCCCUCAUAAAGGAUGUACCGGGAGGCUUGAUUUCGGAGCUUCCGGGCCUCUUUCGCGUCCUGGGGGAG